UACGUAGGGUGCGAGCGUUAAUCGGAAUUACUGGGCGUAAAGAGUGCGUAGGCGGUCCCGCAAGUCCGCUGUGAAAGCCCCGGGCUUAACCUGGGAAUGGCAGUGGAAACUAUGGGACUUGAAUCUGGCAGAGGGGGGUGGAAUGCCACGUGUAGCAGUGAAAUGCGUAGAGAUGUGGAGGAACACCGAUGGCGAAGGCAGCCCCCUGGGUCAAGAUUGACGCUCAUGCACGAAAGCGUGGGGAGCAAACAGG
rnacentral:rRNA from 1 species